GACGAACGCUGGCGGCGUGCUUAACACAUGCAAGUCGAACGGAAAGGCCCUGCUUUUGUGGGGUGCUCGAGUGGCGAGCGGGUGAGUAACACGUGAGUAACCUGCCCUUGACUUUGGGAUAACUUCAGGAAACUGGGGCUAAUACCGGAUAGGAGCUCCUGCUGCAUGGUGGGGGUUGGAAAGUUUCGGCGGUUGGGGAUGGACUCGCGGCUUAUCAGCUUGUUGGUGGGGUAGUGGCUUACCAAGGCUUUGACGGGUAGCCGGCAUGAGAGGGUGACCGGCCACCAUGGGACUGAGAUAGGGCCCAGACUCGUACGGGAGGCAGCAGGGGGGAAUAUUGCACAAUGGGCGGAAGCCUGAUGCAGAAAUGCCGCGUGCGGGAUGACGGCCUACGGGUGGUAAACCGCUGUCGCCUGUGACGAAGCGUGAGUGACGGUAAUGGGUAAAGAAGCACCGGCUAACUACGUG
rnacentral:rRNA from 1 species